GAUGAACGCUAGCUACAGGCUUAACACAUGCAAGUCGAGGGGCAGCAUAAUUUUAGCUUGCUAAAAUAGAUGGCGACCGGCGCACGGGUGAGUAACACGUAUCCAACCUGCCUAUUACUUUUGGAUAGGCUUUCGAAAGAAAGAUUAAUACAAAAUGGCAUAAUGUUUCCGCAUGGUUUCAUUAUUAAAGAAUCUCAGUAAUGGAUGGGGAUGCGUUCCAGUAGAUAGUUGGUGGGGUAACGGCCCACCAAGUCCGCGGUGGAUAGGGGUUCUGAGAGGAAGGUCCCCCACAUUGGAACUGAGACACGGUCCAAACUCCUACGGGAGGCAGCAGUGAGGAAUAUUGGUCAAUGGGCGGUAGCCUGAACCAGCCAAGUAGCGUGAAGGAUGAAGGCUCUAUGGGUCGUAAACUUCUUUUAUAAAGGAAUAAAGUCACCUACGUGUAGGUGUUUGUAUGUACUUUAUGAAUAAGGAUCGGCUAACUCCGUGCCAGCCGCCGCCGUAA
rnacentral:rRNA from 1 species